rnacentral:rRNA from 1 species
GACGAACGCUGGCGGCGUGCCUAAUACAUGCAAGUAGGACGCAGUUGCGAACGGGUGAGUAACGCGUAGGUGACUACCUAUUAGAGGGGGAUAACUAUUGGAAACGAUAGCUAAUACCGCAUACUAGUAGAUGGACCUGCGUUGUAUUAGCUAGUAGGUUGGGUAAUGACCUACCUAGGCAACGAUACAUAGCCGACCUUGGAGGGUGAUAGGCCACACCGGGAUCGAGACACGGCCCAGACUCCUAUGGGAGGUAGCAGUAGGGAAUCUUCGGCAAUGGGGGGAACCCUGACCAAGCAACGACGCCUGAGUGAAGAAGGUUUUCGGAUCGUAAAGCUAUGUUGUUAAGGAAGCGGUACUUAACCAGAAAGGGACGGCUAACUACGUGCCAGCAGCCGCGGUAAUUC